rnacentral:lncRNA from 1 species
CGUCCUCUACCAGUCUGAUUAAUUCGUAGGCUUAACACUUCCUUUUUCUUUCUCCUUGGAAUGCCUCUUGGGAUAUGCAUUAGUUGGUCUUAUGUCUUUUCUUGGUCUAGGUGGUGUGUGUGUUUGGCUUGUUUGGGGCACUUUUAGAGGCUCCAGCUGCACAUUUCCACUCCUCUCUGUGUGUUCCUCUCUGCAUCUGCUGUUUGUGUGUGUACACUUUUUUUCUGAGCAAUCUUUCUCCUUAGCCACAUUGAGUUCUUUAACAGUUUUUCUGUUUUCUUCUUCAUUAAGAUAAUUAAUAAUCAUACUACUCACAUAUCAUGUUUUAGAACUUCCUAAGCCUUUCCCUUUCCCACCUUUUGGACCUCC